AUAAGGAUCAAGUGAAAUGACACGGCGUAGGACUAUGCUCCUCUGUUAAUUUGAUUGAAGUGAUUAACUCCAAGUAUCCAUCAGGCGCCAUUAUUAUUAUCCAGUUUAAUCGAAGAGUUCAGAUCUUACCACGUGUCCCUUUCCGACAAAAUCAAAACAGUACUUUUUCCGUUCCCUUUUUUUUUUUUCUUCCAAAAAAUUCAACUCUUCAAUCUGCAAAUAAUUCCACGUAAAAGCUUCACUCUAACUACAAUCUCCAACUACCUCUUCAAUAUAAAUCUUAUUCAAUUUUUGUAGUAAUAAUCAACAAAAAAAAUGGAGGUGGAGAGGUGGAUGGAAUUGAUGAACAAGCCAGCAAUAAUGGAAACAUUUGUCGACAUUUUGGUAUGUGUUGUCCCGAUUUGGGUUGCGAUUAUGAUUGGUUUAAUGAUCGGUUGGUCUUGGAGACCUCGUUGGACCGGUCUUGUCUUUUUAGGACUCCGGUCUAAGUUGAACCGCUUUGUUUGGACCGUUCCACCCGGUUUUGGUGCUAGAAGGGUUUGGUUAGCUUUUACUGCUCUUUCCGCUUUCUCUGUUGGUAGGAAAUUGUGGUUUAAUUUUAGGACACGUAAGCCUGACUCGGGUUCGGGUUCGGCUCAGGUGGAUCCGGGUCCGGGUUCGGAUGAGCCCAAUAUCAGGCAUUUUACUGGAUCAGAAAAUGAGGACAUAGUGACUCAGAAAGAUCUGGAGCACUUUCUGCAUUUACUAGAUGGUAAAGAUGGAGAGAUGGCAUGGCAAACCAUGAUGGAGCGCUCUACUUCAAACUUCACAUACCAAGCAUGGCGGCAUGAGCCUGAGAUGGGUCCAACAAUCUACAAAACCAAAACUGUUUUUGAAGAUGCAACUCCUGACAUAGUCAGAGAUUUCUUCUGGGAUGAUGAGUUUAGGCCAAAAUGGGACCCAAUGCUUGGUUAUUUCAAGAUAUUGCAGGAAUGUCCACGUACAGGAUCUAUGAUUAUCCACUGGAUUAAAAAGUUCCCAUUCUUCUGCAGUGAUCGUGAAUAUAUCAUCGGUAGAAGAAUUUGGGAAUCUGGGAAAACACACUACUGUGUGACAAAGAGUGUACCAUACCCAGCUCUGCAAAGACGUGACAAGCCUAGGCGUGUGGAACGCUACUUUUCAAGUUGGAUUGUUAAGCCGGUGGAAUCGAAGAAGGGAGAUGGACAGUUAUCUGCAUGUGAAGUCACUCUUAUUCACUAUGAAGAUAUGGGCAUCCCUAAAGAUGUUGCUAAACUGGGAGUUCGUCAUGGAAUGUGGGGAACAGUGAAGAAGUUGCACAACGGCUUCAGAGCAUACCAGAAUGCAAGAAAAUCAGAGGCAGCAGUGUCUAGGUGUGCGAUGAUGGCACGAAUCACUACAAAGAUCUCGCUUGAUGAAGGCGUUGAUGCUUUGGAGCAAGUUUCUGCUGAAGAAGAUAGAGCUGUGGAACUCCGAGGCCAGAGAAGGGAUGGCGGGAUUGACUGGAAAUGGGUGGCUAUAGGAACGGUGGCUGUAGUUUGUGGCCUUCGUACAGGAAUGAUCGGAAAAGCUGUGUUAUUUGGAGCAGGGCAAAGGAUUGCUCGCAGAGGCAUAAAUGCUUAGUGAGGAGUCGUAGCCAGCAUCACUUUGUAGCAAUUCAACCUUAUUAUUAUUAUUUAUCAGCAGAUGGGAGCAUUCAAGAAUGCACCACUAUUCAGAGCAGCAAUAGCAAAUUAAAUCAGCAUCAGCAGCCUCUCCCAAUGAUGAUUCUCGUGGAUCAGGACAGUAGAGCUUUCACAUAACAUAUCCCAAGAUCGACGCUUGAGAAACUUAUGACACUAUGAUUUGAAUUGUUUUUUCACUUCCAUAUAUUUUAGAUUUUGUAAGAAACCUAAGAAUGACUCUAGGCCUUCUUUUUUCUCCAGUUUUGUUUUUCUUUAAUACCUUUAUGUUCGUUGAUCACAGUUAUUUACCUUUAUGUUGGUUGAUCACAGUUAUUUACCUUUAUGUUGGUUGAUCACAGUUAUUUACCUUUAUGUUGGUUGA